AACUUAUGAAAACCUACUUAUGUGUAAUGUCCACGUACGGAUACACGAUCACCAUAUAAAAAACCAAAGCAAUAUAAAUGCAGAUGGCAGCAUACCAAGGGCAAAUUAUACUCAAUUCUUCUUAAGAAAUUCAAUGGCAUAGGUGUUGAAGGCAGAGCACACGACUCGAAAGCCUUGGAAUCCAGAUCCCUUAGCCAAGGCCUCGAACUCCUUCUCCGUCCUCUCUUUUCCGCCGGGGUUGUGAGCUAACAUGAUCUCGUCGAUAUGGACAACUCCCUGGUGGCAAGGCUGCUGUCCGGAGCUACUGGAAGAAUGCACUCAGCAACAAUUACCUUCCCAUUGUCAGGGAGCGCAGCAUAGCAGUUCUUCAAAAAUUUCAAGCAAUGCUCGUCACUCCAGUCGUGGCAUAUCCACUGUAAGAUUGCAUACAGGAUUUGAUAUUAGUUCCAAUUAUAUUGAGCAACUAAGCUCCUAUGAGAAAUUAAUAUUAGCACUACAAAAUAAUCAUCGGCUCUUUUUUGAUAAAUAAUAACUCACCUUCAUGAAAAUUGCAUCUCCCUUUGGAACACUUACAAACAUGUCUCCUCCAACAUGCUCCACACCUAUAUUCAACAUCCACUGACCUCAUAUUCGUUAGGAAAAAUGAUAAAUAGUACAAAUAUUAUUUUUAUAUACAAUAACAUUAGGGGAAGAGAAAUUGAACUUGAGAGAUCGAAUGUAAAGGUGAACGCUUUUAAGUAAUUGAACUACAAACAUUAUCAGAAAUGAAGAACAUACCAGGAUAUUGAGGAGCAUCUUCGAUGACAUGAGGCAAGUCGAAAUUAAUGCCCUUAAUCGAAGGGUAUUUAGAGACGAUCAUGUUAAGGAUAGCGCCAGUGCCACCACCAACAUCAACGAUGCAUGUGAGGCCCUCAAAGCCAUUGUAGUUUCUUCAAGAAGUUUCUUCAUGAGAGAGAGAUCGAAUGUAGUUCUCAAGUAGUUCUCAAGAAGUUUCACAUGAGUGAGGUCGAUAAGAUAAACAGCUUGACUUUUAUAUACAUUCAACUAAGCUAACAUGUAGAAUUAGUAUGUAAAGACAUUGCACAAUUAGUAGAAAGAAACUGAAUGUUCUUGAUCACAAAGACAUGGUCGGCAAAAAAGUUAUGUUUCCAUAAGAAACAGAAGCAACAUGUAGUUCACACAAAUUUUUUCCAUUAUAGUUAGCUUUUGAAAAAACUGCUACACCGUUUUACAAAUUCAAUCGUUAAACAUGAUAUUGUAUUCCAAGACAAAGAUAAAGUAUAUGGUUUGUUUACAAAUCAAAGCUAGAAACCCCAAAGCUUUUUGCAUAUUCAUCAUCUCUCUGAUCAUGAAAAAUUAAAAUUAAUAAUAAUCACUCAAAUCAUAUUACAAUAUAUAACAAACUAUGUCAUCUGAUAAUCGAUAAAUUUUAAGAAAAUUUAAAAUGAAAACCAUAAUCUGAAAUGUCUGAAUUUUCUCAAACACUUUCUGAGAAGCCAAACCAAAACAAAAAACAAAAACAAAAACAAAAGGAGAUGAAUGAGAAAUGAGAAACGAGUAAUUACCAUGUCUGGAUUUGGAUGAGGCGGGAAGAGAAGGCCAUGAUCGGUUCACAGUCUUCCUCUUCUUCUUGUAAUUUAUGUUCCUCUUUCAAAUUUCAAAAACAAAAAAUCCACCCAUACUUAAUUCCCAUAAAAAAAAAAUUAAAAAAAAAUAAAAAAACUAGUAUAAAAAUUUCAUGGCACCUAUAAAAAUUCACCGUCACUAGUAUAAAAACCACCCAUACUCCAUUCCAUUUCUUCCCAAAACCCAGGGAUUCGGUGCCAGAACUGCAUCUUCUCAGUUGUUGCAUAUCUUCUUGCUAAUGUGUCAUUGACUUCGCACGCCUAGAAACCAAGCCAUCACAAUGCAAACGCGAGUAUCUCUGAUUAGCAUCGAAGGGGGUUGGCUUGGAAACUAAGAGCUGAGUAUCAUUCAAGGGAUUAUUCUGUAGCGUUGUGCCUACUCCGGAUGAUGCCAAAGUGGCCCCUUGAAGAGGUAAUGAAGGUAGUCAUCUAUCUAGCCUUUGGAAAGGUGCACUAUAUUGCAUGAACAUGAGGAAAUGCGAACAAAUAAGAAUUAUAAAAACUAAAGUGAAUCAAACCCAUGGAUCUUAUUGGGAUUACCUUCAUAAAAGCUAAGCAUUUUGGAAAAAACAUUUUCAAUUAAAAAUAACUUUGAAAAUGUCUUUCUAUUCAAGUAUGUUGGCCCAAAAUUGAAAGUGAUAGAUGCUUUCGAACAGUUUAGUUUGUAACCAUCAUUAACAUUACAAUUUUUUAGAAGUAAUGUAGACGAAUAUAUUUAGUUGCAUCAGGCUCCUUAGUUUCCAAUUGACAUGCCAAUUUAUGAUCCAUUGCUCUUUCUUUUUUAGACAAUAAAUCGAAAACAUUGAUAUAACCAAAUGCAUUCGAUAAUAGAAAACUACGUAAAUUUCCUAAGAGAGUUCUUGAACGGAAGAACUGACAAAGUAUUGAGUUGAUGAUGGCUUUUAUACCUACCCCAAUGAAUAGCUGCUGGAAGAAGUAUCUCAGGAAUAAGCAAUGCCUAUAAUGGAUUGCUCGAAAGCGCAUAUUCUUUGAAUUCCUCACCGCAAGGACAACAGCAAAGAGCACCGAUCUCUGCAUUUCCACCAAUAUAUACAAAAGAGUCAACAUUUGAGUUUAUAUUUUACUUAAAAUAUGAUUUUAGCCCUUCCAACUCAAUUUUCUUCAUAUAAAACCCUACAUAACUUUUUUACUCAAAGAAAACCCAAUGACUAGGAUCCACAUAAGCAAAUUCAUUAAUUUCAAUAUUACUUCACACAUUUUACAUUUUUCACAUGCCUAAAAUACCCCUAUUACAUAUUUGAUGUAGACAAUUAAUUGUAAGGAGAGAGUAAAUGAUUUUGCAACAAGAAAAACAAGACAUUAAUGUUAAAAAUUUAUUGCAUAUUAAUUUUUUUAGAAAGGCUUUGAAUUUUCAUAAACUAUUUGAUUAGUUUUUUUCACGCUACUCUUGAACACUUUUGAAUUUAUCCUUUUUUUAUUAAUAUAUUAGAACAUUGUAUUUCAUUAUCUACAUGCACAUUAAUUUACCUACAACAAUUAUACCAUGAGUGUAAUAUAAUAUCUCUUUUUUACAAUGAUGCAAAAUAAUGUUUAUACCAACAACAAAACGUGCCUAACAUAUGUACUAAUACAUGGAAAAUAAUUUACCUAUAUUAAGAAGAAAUGUAGUUCGAUGCGUAGUAUUAAAAAUACUAUGUUACACCCAUGUUUAUACAACAAUAAAACGUGCCUAACAUAUCUAACAAUACAUGGAAAAUAAUUUAUCUACAAGUUAGAUAAAUGUUAUUUGGUCGGGUGUAUAUAAAUUGUUUUAAUAAUUGGAAAAAUUAAAUAUAACUAGGUGUAGUGAAAUUUUUUUCUAUAAUUAGAACAAAUUAAUUUACCUACCUACUAUUUGAAAUGUUCAUUUCUAAUGAUGCAAAAUGUUCAUUACCUAACUACAAAAUAAUUUCCAAUAAUUUACCCACAACAAUUAUACCAUGGGUGUAAUGUAAUAUCUUUCUUUACAAUGAUACAAAAUAUUGUAUGUAUACCAACAACAAAAUGUGCCUAACAUAAGUACUUGUACAUGGAAAAUAAUUUACCUAUAACAAAAGAAAUGCAGUUUGAUGUAUAAAAUCAACAAUAAAUUUACCUACAAGUUAGAGGAAUGUUAUUUGAUUCAAAAUAUAUAAUAUAGGUGUAGUAUUUUUUUUUAAAUAAUUGGAACACACUAAUUUACCUACCAAUUAAUAUGGGUAAAAUUGCUACAAAAUAUAUCACGAAAAAAAAAACUACUUUUCUAGUUUGACAUGGAUACGGUUAAUGCAAACACUUUUUACAUUUUAUUUCACUUUUUCUACUACUUUUAUUUUGGCAUAAAUUUAGGAAUUUGGAAAACGGACCAUAAAGUAUGAGUGGCAUGAGUGUAAAUAAAUUGUAUUUAUAGGUCAAUAGUGUUCCCAUAUAUUUGCAAAUUUUAAAUUUUGGCUUAAACUGGAUCUUUAAAGAUAGAUGAGUUUUUAUCUAGAAAUAAUAAGUUGUAAGGGCCAAAAUCUAAAGCACCCUAUUUUUUUUUCAUAUUCUGUUUCUUCAUUUUCUUCUAUAUCACUUUCUAUACUCAUAUAUAUACUCAUAGUUUAGUUUAUAUUGGACAGGACCGAUCAUCAUAUGCUCAUAUAUAUGCGUUUGUUUAAUCAAUAAUGCUAUUUAAAGGUACAAAACUAAUCGCAUUUCUGAGACACUCGAAAAUAGCGGUGGACUCUACAAAUACACGCAAAACAUACAUGUGCUAAAGAAUCUAUAACAAUGCGAUUAAUUUUGGGAGUCUAUAUAGUAUUACUUGUUAUUUAUUUAUUGCCUAUCUGAUUAUGGCUUCUCAUGGCAGGUAGGAAUGCUUCUGUAAUUUGGUUGAUUUAAUUUCUUGAUCAUAAUACCAAUUUGAAUGAACAUCAUGGAUAAUAAUUUGACAGCUACGUCAUGAAAAUAAUAUGAAUGUCAUUUUAUCAUUUCCUUUUUGCCAUUUCUCUGAUUUAGGAGAGUUCUUGUGUUGUGUAUAAGCGAUAUGUCGAAAUCUAUUGACGGGUAAGUUCGAGUGAUAAGAAAAUCCAUGAGGUCCGAUUUUGUGUUUGUGGCAAUACAGACAUGUAAUUUGUCCGUUGUACACUAGAUUCUUUCAUUUUUUAGACCCUAUUGCAUGGGUAUGAUUCCAAAUUUAUAACAUACAAGCAUGUUAGAAUAGAAUUAAUUAAUCCAGAAUUUUAUUCAUAGUUGUCACAUGUAUUAUAGGAAUGUAAUAUUUAAUUGUAAUUAGUGUAGGAUCCUAUUUCAAUAGGGACUAAUGUAACCUUGUAUAUUUAUUGUAAUAUUUUUCACACAACAAUACAAAGAGUCAUAAUUCUACAUGUUAUCAAAGCAACAAAAUCACUUUCUUAUUAUUUUUUUGUAACAUAUGAAAACCUACUUAUCGUGUAACAUCCACGUAUGGAUACACGAUCACCAUAUAAAAAACCAAAGCAAUAUAAAUGCAGAUGGCAACAUACCAAAGGUAAAUUAUACUCAAUUCUUCUUAAGAAAUUCAAUGGCAUAGGUGUUGAAAGCAGAGCACACGACUCGAAAGCCUUGGAAUCCAGAUCCCUUAGCCAAGGCCUCGAACUCCUUCUCCGUCCUCUCUUUUCCGCCGGGGUUGUGAGCUAACAUGAUCGCGUCGAUAUGGACAACUCCCUUGGUGGCAAGGCUACUGUCCGGAGCUACCGGAAGAAUGCACUCAGCAACAAUUACCUUCCCAUUGUCUGGGAGCGCAGCAUAGCAGUUCUUCAAAAAUUUCAAGCAAUGCUCGUCACUCCAGUCGUGGCAUAUCCACUGUAAGAUUGCAUAAAGGAUUUGAUAUUAGUUCCAAAUAUAUUGAGCAACUAAGCUCCUAUGAGAAAUUAAUAUUAGCACUACAAAUAAUCAUCGGUUCUUUUUUGAUAAAUAAUAACUCACCUUCAUGAAAAUUGCAUCUCCCUUUGGAACACUUACAAACAUGUCUCCUCCAACAUGCUCCACACCUAUAUUCAACAUCCAUUGACCUCAUAUUCAUUAGGAAAAAUGAUAAAUAGUACAAAUAUUAUUCUUAUAUGCAAUAAUAUUAGGGGAAGAGAAAUUGAACUUGAGAGAUCGAAUGUAAAGGUGAGUGCUUUUAAGUAAUUGAACUACGAACAUUAUUAGAAAUGAAGAACAUACCAGGAUAUUGGGGAGCAUCUUCGAUGACAUGAGGCAAGUCGAAGUUAAUGCCCUUAAUCGAAGGGUAUUUAGAGACGAUCAUGUGAAGGACAGCGCCGGUGCCACCACCAACAUCAACGAUGGAUGUGAGGCCCUCAAAGCCAUUGUAGUUCUCAAGAAGUUUCUUCAUGGUAAUGGUAGAGUGGUCAGCCAUUCCCUUGUUGAAGACCUUGUUGAAUCUGGGGUCAGUGCCAUGGUACUCAAAAGCAGUCAUUCCGUAGGCCUUGUUGAAUGGGAUACCUCCUUCAAGGACUGCAUCUUUCAAGUUGUACCUGCACAAACCCGAAACAAGCAUGCAUGACUCAUUUGUGUUUAAAGCUUAAUCUACAAGGAAAGGGCCGGACCCUUGAAAUUUGAUUCAACAACUACAAAUAAGAAGGCCCCUUUAAAAAUUAUAAUAACUUUAAUCGUUGAAUCAAAUAUCAAUAGUCUGAAUAAGUGGACUUGAUAGACUUGAUGGAAGGGAUCCGGAGAGAAUCAUUUUCCAAUCUACAAUACCAAAGUACAAGCAAUCUUGUAAACUAGGCCAACCGACAUUCCACGUGUUUCAAGGCCCGCAUAACUCACAAUAAUCAGAUAAUUUAUGGGUUUGUUAAAACAACUCUCCCUUCUUUUAUUGAAUUCGGAUCCUCUUUGUAGGAAUAUUAAGAAUCUUAAAGAUUCGUAAAUCGUAUCAAUUCAUUGUACAUCGUACGAUCAUAAAACUAUUUGCAUUUUUUUAUUUAAAAUUAAACACAAACAACACUUGAUGAAAUCUGACCGUACGAUCACAGAUCUUCAGGAUUCUCACAAAGAAGAUUCAGAGAGAAUUUGUUGGUCUUUUAUUGACAUGGAUUGCGUCAAUCAGUUAGUAAAAUAGUAUCCUUUUAUAUUUGAGUACAAAUUAUCAUUUUUAUAGUUUUGAUAAAAAUGAGGGAGGAAGUUAAUUUAAAUUUCACCUCUAGCUAAUUGACGGAACUUACACUCCAUAUAGAAGAAUAAAAUAGUUAAAACAUACAGUUGUCCUAAGGAAAAAGAUUGAUAAGAAAUAAACGUGUAACAUCGAAACACUUUGGUGUGGUUGUUGAAGUGGUUUUACCAACUUUCCACUCCUAAUUUGAUUUAAGUGGAAAUCAUAAAACAGGUGACCAGUCAUCAUAUAGCGUAAUGCUAGAAAAAUAAAAUUUAAAAAUAAAAUUUACAAAUUAAUUGAUAUGAAAAUUAAUUGUUGAAUUAUUACUUAAAAGAUGAGACAUUAAUAAACAUGAUUUUUUUUUAUUAAUGACAUAUAAUUUAGUUUAAAAUUUUUAUUUAAAAUUUGGUUUCUUUAAAAGUCUGACAAGAAGUCAAUUUGGAGUCUUGUCCGUCCCCAACCGCCUAAUGGGCCAAAAGUAAUAUGAACAACGAAGAAAACAUUAGGAAAAAUAAAUUUUAACGAAAAAGUUUUGAUAUUUUUUAUUUUAAUAAAAAAAUUAUAAUUUUACAUUAAAAAAUCAUUUAUAAUACUAUUCAUUUUAUUUUUUAUUUUAUCUUAAAAUUUUCAAACCAAUUUUUAUUAGUUUUUCUUAGGAAAAAAUAGAGAACAAUCACAUAUUAAAGCCAUAACUCACAGUUCGUACGUAACAUUUUAUGAAUAUUGUAUUAUUAUCAACCUAUUUGAACCCCAUUAAUUAAUGUUUGUUAACGAUCAAAUUAAGAUGAUAAAUAAAGAAGAAGAAUGGUAAUUACCAGCUCUCCAUAAGGACCUUGUCCUGAUUCAUGAGGCAGAGAGAACCAAUGGAAGCACCAUCCUCGCUCUUUGUCAAGAACUUGCAGACGGGGCCGAGGCCGUACAGCCGCUCGACUUUGCCGUCGGGAAGUGUGCGGAGGGAGUAAGUGAGGAUAGAGUAGCUGGCCAGGACGCGCAGCAUGCGGUCCAGCAUGACGGAGGCGUCAGGGUUCUUGGUCGGCAGCUGCGAAGAUAAGUCAGCCGGAGAAACAAAAGCGCCAGGCCCGGCUUUUGCCAUGAUCUCGAGGAGGUCGAGCUCGAUGGCUGCCUUGAGCACCAUGGGGAGGACGGAGGCGCUGGCUAGCUGCAUGGCGAAGAG
rnacentral:lncRNA from 1 species